CUAGCGACUUCAGAGUUUGAUCCUGGCUCAGGAUGAACGCUAGCUACAGGCUUAACACAUGCAAGUCGAGGGGCAGCAUUAGGUAGCAAUACUGAGAUGGCGACCGGCGCACGGGUGCGUAACGCGUAUCCAACCUUCCCGUUACUCUUGGAUAGCCUUCCGAAAGGGAGAUUAAUACAGGAUGGUGUUUGAAUUCCGCAUGUUAUUCAAACUAAAGAUUUAUCGGUAACGGAUGGGGAUGCGUGACACUAGAUAGUAGGCGGGGUAACGGCCCACCUAGUCUACGAUGUCUAGGGGUUCUGAGAGGAAGGUCCCCCACACUGGAACUGAGACACGGUCCAG
rnacentral:rRNA from 1 species